rnacentral:lncRNA from 1 species
CGCGCGCGCGCGCGCGGACUACGAGCGCGGGAAGCUCGCGGGCGCGCGGCCGGGGUGAGGGGAAGCCGCGUCCGCGCCGCGCGAGCGCGCACGGCGGGAGGGGUUGAGUGGGGGUGAACACGCACGCACACGCACACACCCCCCCCCCCCGGUGCGGGAGGGCUGGCAGAGCGGGUGCGGUUUGACAUUGCCGCCCUCCCGCGCGGGAGGAGCCACGGGGGGAGGGGCUCCGGCGGGGAGGGACCGGCCCUCGCGGUAACCCGCCGAGCAGGAAACUCCGUGACGGCCUGUCACAGAGCGACAGUCCUUGCACCAGUGAACAGCUGUGACUUGGUCAGUGGGUUUGAAAGCAGUUACUGCAUUGUAAAGUGUGUGUAUGUUUUAAGAUGAGCACUUUGAUAUACCGUUUCUCCUAAAGGACUCCAUUUCACCGGAUAAUGCCAAGUGAAAAUUCAUGUUAUGGUUGUACAAACAAGAGCAUCUUGAAAAUUGUGGAGCUGCAUACAAGCAAAUGUCAGAUGACAGCUUCUCAUUCCUCAACACAGCUACCACGUGUCAUUGAUGUUGUCUGCUAUUGAAAGAAUGCAAACAAAAUGUGUGCAGAAAAAAAACUGCACAUGGACACAUCCAGGCCUGCCAGGAAUCGCAAUGCUUUUUGCUCCCCCUGUUCAACCUCGGCAUCUUCUUCUGCCACCGGCACCUUUUGUAUCAACCUCGUCUUCGCUUCUUGUGAAGAAAUGGGGCUUUCCCUGCUGGUGGGUGGGCACCAGCUCUGCAAAGUCCCUGUCCCUUGUUAGAAAAACUGAGGAAGACAUGCACUGGGCCUUUCUUUAAAUAAUAACUAAAAAAAAUCAUACUCAACUUUAGGCACAUGUAUAUUCUAACCCAAGUGCUGUGCAACAUUUAAAACCUGUGGACCUCUGAAAUACCUUUCUUGAAGUGUGUUGUUUUGUCAUGUCUAGUGUUUGCAGGCACCUUAACCAGAAUUUAGUUGCUCUGGGAAAAUGCUGCAAUCAAGUAUUUUUGCAAAACUUUAAUUGUAUUCCUUCUGGUAAGAAAGAAUGUGUUGCCUUGGGGAUGAUCAGCAAAAAAUAAAUGAAAGGUAGAAAAAGGCCAUUUUCUUCAGGGACAUCACUAAAUGGCCCAUCAAAUAGCUGAGAAGUGAUGUUGAGCAUGUAAAUGCUGAGUCCCCAGAAGCUGUAGAUCCUGGGUCUUAUUAAAAUGUUAUGUUGGGACAGUAAAACUGCUAAGGGGACCAGCUGGAGGGUUAGCUAACCUCUGGGGAGGAGAGCAAGGGAGAACAAUUUUAAAUAUGUGAGAUCUGUUACUGCUUAGUUGCAGCUAAGGUGAAUUUUGUCACUAGAUUGAAGUGAGGGGAGAGCAGAAUACAGGAAAGAGGCAUUUUGCUGCUGGCUGUAACACCAGCUGUGUGUUGCAGCAUCAGAGUAAGAUAUGUGGAAAGAGAAAAACAGAGGAACAGAGACGAAAGAAAAUGAUUUUUAUGUUGUUGUAUAAAGCCUGUUGA